AAGGACAUUCUAUAAGAGCUUGUGUUGUUGCCAAAAGAAUAUUAUAUUAUUGUUUAUGUUAUAAUACAUACUACAUAUACUGCCUGCUACAUAUUGUAUGUAACAUACAUACACAUUUUACAGGUAUAAUACAUAAAAUUCUAUGAGUCGACGAAGUUGGAAAUACAAAGCACAGUGAAGAUCAUGUGUUAUAUUUUGCUGUUUUUCUUAUGUAGUCGAGAAAUGUUAUUGUUAAUGGUUCUCGGAAAUUUGUUUUCGUGUACAACUUUAUGAGAGAUUUGUGCCUGGGAUGAUGUACCAUGGUAUAGGUGACCUCUCCUACUCAGAAUGAUACGAUACCUACACGCAAUAACAUUCUCGGCUAUUCUUCUGUUGCAUUAUGAUUGUAGUUGUUCGUGCAGACAUAGAUGAAUCGAUCUUUGUUUCGAUAAAAUAAUGAAAGAAUUGUGAAGUAGAUUUGUUGUUAAUGUUUUUCAGUUAAUUUAAAUUUGUUUGCGUUUUAUGAUGUUAAAAAACUUUUAUGAAUAUGUCUGUAUGAAUAAUUUGGGUCCAAAGCAGUCAUAGAAUCAAUAUUUGUUCGUAUAAAAUUUUAUUUUUCUUUUUCUCUACAAUCAGAUAUACUGUAGAUACUUAUAUAUAAAACAAGCAAUAGAUAUUCGCGAAUUAAAUUCAUUGUUUGCCUUUUAAUUAUUAAAUAAUUAUUGCUCAUUUGAGUCAGUGCAUCAUGGAAGAUGAUCCAGGACUUAUUACACUUCUGUAGAAGAAUAUUGAUUUGCAUUGACAUUAUGUCAAUGUAUUACAAAUUCAAUCUAAUUAAUUUUCUAUCUACGUCGAUUUAUUGCGUUUUGGACUUAUUACGGAACAGCUUACAUAAAUUUCGAGCUACAACUCGGCGAGUGAACAAAUUUAAGUCUCUUCUGUAUAUAUUAUGUCGAGGAUGAAAGAUUCGACUUGAUAUGAAUUACUAGUUGUAAUUUUUUCUAUUAAUUGUUGACGAAUAGCCAUUAAUAAUUAACUUUUUGGAUUUA